AACGCAACUUGCGCCGCUCUGUGGCAUGUCUGUUUGAGUAUCAAAUACCCUCUGUCGCAAGACGAGAUGUCUAGACGUGUAGUGCUGGACUAAAUGUAUUGAGAAUCAGCAGUCACUCUGCUCUGGUGCCGAGUUGGAGACCUUUGGUCUUGUCGGCUUCCUGGAUGCAGUCGGUGCACAAUUCUUGGUCUCAGAUCAGACAAGACUACCCGCUGAACUUAA
rnacentral:misc_RNA from 1 species